rnacentral:misc_RNA from 1 species
AACGCACAUUGCGCUCCUCGGUGUUCCGAGGAGCAUGCCUGUUUGAGUGUCAGUAAAUUCUCAACCCCUCUCGAUUAGCUUCGAGGGGGAGCUUGGAUAGUGGGGGCUGCCAGAGACCCAGACUUUGUGUCUGGGACUUGGGCUCUCCUGAAAUACAUUGGCUUGCGAUCGACUUUUUCGACUUUGCGCGACAAGGCUUUCGGCGUGAUAAUGAUCGCCGUCUUCCGAAGCGCAUGAACGGAAGGGAAGGUCUCGUGCCUCCAACAAUAUGCGUCGACGGCAACGUCUUCCAUCUUUUAUUUUAUGUUUGACCUCAAAUCAGGUAGGACUACCCGCUGAACUUAA